rfam:Picea glauca, whole genome shotgun sequence.
AUGUACGUGCCUACAACAUAGCAUUAAUGCACUGGAUCCCAUUAGAGCUCUGCAGUUAAGCACGCUCAGGUUAGAGUAGUACUGGGAUGGGUGACCUCCCUAGAAGUCAUAGUGUUUUACAUU